UACGUAGGGUGCAAGCGUUGUCCGGAAUUAUUGGGCGUAAAGAGCUUGUAGGCGGUUUGUCGCGUCUGCUGUGAAAUUUCGGGGCUCAACCCCGAACUUGCAGUGGGUACGGGCAGACUAGAGUGUGGUAGGGGAGACUGGAAUUCCUGGUGUAGCGGUGAAAUGCGCAGAUAUCAGGAGGACACCCGUGGCUAAGGCGGCUCUCUAGUACGGUACUGACGCUGAGACGCGAAAGCGUGGGGAGCGAACAGG
rnacentral:rRNA from 1 species